AGAAUUUGAUCCUCGAUCAAAAGGAAUGCUAGCUAUUUGCUUAACACAUGCAAGUCAAACGUUGUUUUCGUGUAGCUAGGUAGAAGAAAAAAAGGCUCUUAGCUAAAGGUAGAAUAUCUCACCUAGGAGGUGAGAAGAGUUGAGAACAAAGUGGUGAACGGGUAGGUAAUGCAUGGGAAUCUGCCGAACAGUUCGGGCCAAGUCCUAAAGAAAGAAAAAAAGUAUUGUUUGAUGAGUUUGUGUAGUAUUAGGUAGUUUUUCAGGUAAAGGCUGACAAAGCCAAUGAUACUUAGCUGGUCUUUUCAGAAAAUCAGCCAUACAGGGAUUGAGACAUAGCCCGGACGCCCAUGGGGGAUAGCAAUAGGGAAUCUUGGACAAUGGGUAAAAGCCCGAUCCAGUAAUAUCAUGUGAGUGAAGAAGGGCAAUGCCACUUAUAAAUCUCUUUAGUCGAGUGUGCAAUCAUGAUAAGACUCGAGGAAGAAGCCCAGCUAACUCUGUGCCAGUAGCCGUAGUAAGAUUGGGGGCAAGUGUUCUUCAAAAUAACUGGGUGUAAAGGGCAUGUAGGUAGUAAAUCGAGUCAAAACUGAAAGCCACCAAAAACUGGCGGAAUGCUCUCAAAAUCAAUUCACUUAAGUAAGACAGAGGAGAAUCGAAUUUCAUGUGUAGGGUUGAAAUCCAAAGAUCUAUGAAGGAAUGCCAAAAGAAAAGGAAGCUCUCUUGGUCCCUACCGAUGCUCAGGUGCAAAAGCAAAGGGAGCGAAAAGGAUUAGAUACCCUGGUAGUCCAUGAUAUAAAUGAUAAGUGUUCAUUAUUGGUCUAUGCAGAUUUGGGGCCCAGCUAACAUGUGAAACACUCCGCCUGUGGUGUACUGUAAUGCCCCGAGUCUAUACCUUGGAUGCUACACGGUGUUUACGACCUCGAAGGACCAUAAGCUAACCCAUGACUGAUACCUGUUGUAAGCACUGAAACAUGAUACUUAAUAAAUAUGGAAAAAUAGGAUGAAGUUCCAUAAGGUUCAAAAUCUGUAAAUACUGAUAAAGUGUAUCAACUGAGAUAAUAAUCUGUAAAAAAAUGAACACUAUCUGAAAAUUAGUCUGAAAAACCUCUAAUUUGAAACUGUCUGAAGUAGAGUUGAUGGGACAAACCCCCAACUAACUCCAUAUACUUAAAUACUGAGUCUACUUUAAUAAUAGAAUGAAAGAAUAUCCUCAAAUGAUGAAGACUCUCAGCUAAAUCUAUUUUUGGCUAAAUCUGGAUCUAUCAAUGCGC
rnacentral:rRNA from 1 species